GUAAUAAAAUGUUUAAUAAUGUAAUCUGAUGUUCAGUGGUUGUCGUUUGUUGUUGUGUUUCAUAAGUGAUUCUGGUUUCUCAUUUUUUAUACAGAUAAGACUGUUGGUUUUUGUUUGCAUGGUUUUACACUAGUAAUUUUGGGGCCCUUUAUAGCUUGCUAUUCAAAGUGUAUCCCUUUAACAAUCAGUCCAUCAAUUACCAAUCAUGGUGUAAAAGUGCCCAUAGGAUGAUUAAUACUAGUGUUGUCAACGGUUAACCGGUUAACCGGUUAACCGUUCGAACGACCGAAUACCGAAUACCAAAAUCGCUAACCGGUUAACCAGACUUUUUUCAAUUUUGGUAGAUUUGAUAUAUUUGUAUAGAAAUCAUUAAAUAGUUAUGUUUUAUUUAAAAAUUGUCGUCGUGUUAAUUAAUUAGACAGAUCAAUUAUCCAGUAUAUUGAUUGUUAUUGUUAAUCCUAAAAACAUAAAAUUAAUUAGAACUUGUCUCUCAGCUUGGGGCAAGAUCUAAAAGAAACAUAAUUAGUUUACAUGUUUUUUUAACAGUAACUUUAAAUCAGUAAUGCGAUUAAAUUUUAAAGUUCGUUUUUAAUCUAAUUUUGUGUAGACCUACAUCUAAAUGUGCAACCUCCGUCGUGCAAGGCGUAGUCGAACUUGAAACGAAUUGCUUACUAAAAAUUGUGAAAUGCAAACCAAUGUGAAUGUUCUCAAUGAAUACGUGAUAGUACGAGUAACAUGCUUAAAGAAACAAGCAAACAAAGCAAAGAAACAGGUCGUACGGUGCCUUAUAGUUAUUAAUUUCUGUGUCAUUUUGGUCUCUUGUGGAAAAUUGUCUCAUUGGCAAUCAUACCACAUCUUCUUUUUUAUAAUUAAUCAUUUCAAAUUGAACCACUCCACAUUAUUUUCGGAGACAACAAGAGAAAAGAAAAGAAUAAUCGGUUUCAGACAUAUUCAAUCCUACGAGAUAAGUUUAUAUUUUUUUCAAUCUUAAGUUGGUACAGACGCUAUAUAGUUGAUACGGUGCAUCUGAUUAUUAAAGAUCAAACUUCGCCAGGAAUCCUCAAAGCAAGCCGUAUAAUGCCAAAAGGACAAUAUUAAAUUUUAAAAGCGUAAAUUUAUGACUUGGAUGAAAGGUUGUCAAAUUGACACUCAUACUACAUCUUAUAUCUAUGUGUAGGGUACUAGUGAUAAGGCUUUCAAACCCCAAUCUGAACUAUACCGGUUAACCGGUUAAUCGGUCGAACGAUUGUCCGAGUAACCGGUUAGGCAAAAGUGUACGAUUUGACAACACCAAUUAAUACCCUAUUAAUUGCUGUUUAAUAAGUCAAGAGCCAAUGUCAUAGCAGCUAUUUGUAGGAUGUCAUCUUUUGAUAUUUAAAUCCAG
rnacentral:lncRNA from 1 species